CUCACACACAAACACGCACACAUACCAAAACACACACGUGUGUUGUGUGUUUGUGUAUUUCUGCAAGUUUACUUCCCUAGACCCUGCAAUAAGGUGUCAGUGGUUAGGCAUGAGCUGUUUCCUGUCUCACAGGUCUUAGGUGAUACCUGUGAUGAGCAUUGGGAUCCCCACCUUGAGCAUUACAGUUCUGCCAAUGUGCUCACCUUAGUGCCAUGUAGAUAUCCCCUUGAGUAGUUUAUAAAUCUAUCAUGAGUUCCUUUCUCAAAAACAUUAUAAAUCCUGGCUACAGAAAUCCUCAUGGUGUGAUUUUGGCCUCUAUUUUGUGAGACACCAGGGCUGAGAGUUUUCAUUUUAUAGAGAGGAGAAGCAUUAUCCCAGUUUUUGGUAAGCACAGACCAUGAAGUAGACACCAGGAACCCUCUUAGUCAGCUAUUUCAGCCGUCCUGCUGAAAUAAUACACACAACCCCACCUUCCUUCACCUGAACAUCCUGCCUCUGCUGGCCUAGGGUCAGGAUAGCAAGUUUAAUAAGCACCAGAAGUUCCAAGUACAUAGGAGACAGGAUGUGACAUUCCAUGGGCUCCAGUAGCCUUGAAUACAGCCUGAAUCCACAUGACCCAUGAAAACCUUGUUCAUGGAGUUUUUUGGCCAUGCCCUACCAUUGGCCAAAACCUUUUUCUGAAAAUCUUCAGAUGGAGUAUAAGCAGGUCAUGGCAGACCUGCAUAGAUUGGAGAAUGAGAACACAGAGGCCUUGAAGAGAUUCAGUGAGCUUGACAAGGAGUCACUCUUCUAUUGAUCAGAAAAACCGCAACAUGAGCUAGAGCAGGCUUUGGGCCAUGAUGAGAGCCCCCUGCAGAAAGAGCUGCAGCAAGCAGGGGCACCAAAUGUCACAGUACCUUUUCAGAGAAUUGAGGAGGCCUAAGGAAGCCACAGACAACCAAAAGCCAUAACAUUCUCCAGCAUAGAAUCAAGACCUCAUCAGAAGAAAUGUCAUUCUAGCUGUAAUCUCACUAGUGAGACAAAUAUCAACCUAACUCUAGAUGCCAUGUCCAAAGUCUGAUCCAUGAGUCUGUUGGCUCAGUAUUUCUGGAGUAAAGGAACCAUCACAAAGAAGCUUAAGACACCAAAAAUCUGCCAAGAAUUACUUAGAGACCAAAAUCCACCUGCAAGCAGGCCUGAACAACAUGGAAGGAGUAUAUGUCUCUGCUCAUAAUUACUCUGAAAGUUUGUUGCUGAGAACAUCUGUCAGCUGAUGAGUCCUUAGCCCUUCACAUUUGGAGGAAAUCUGUCAAGGGAGACUAUUGAAGUCAUGCUGCUCUCCAGACAUCACAUUUUCAUCCUGUCCAGUGCCGAAGCUACUUCAUGUCAUGUACCUGGAUUUUGAAGUUAAUGCCUUUCAGAGAUGACAACUAUCCCUCGCUAAUUCUUCGUCAUUCAUUCUUCCAUUAUGAAAUUGGCUGCAGAUUCUCCUGGUUCACAGUCUUGAUGGAAGAGAACUGUCUUGAGAAAAGAUUGACAGAGGAUGUCAGAGUGGCCUUUUAUGUGUUUGGACAGCAGGUCUCCUCUGCUUUUGGUCUUGAGUAGCAAGCAGACAUAUGGUGAUGGAAGGAUAACAUAGUGGCCAGCAUAUUAUAGGAUCAUCUUUGGUGAGUGCUUAACCUGCAAAGCCCCCAAAUGGCCUGGCUACACUUGUCUUGAAAAGGUUAUUAUAAUCUAUGCCUAUCUUCCUAUUAUGUGUCCAAAGCUGGCCACAGGGUGUAGGUCAGUGCCACGAAAUCUGCACGUUGAAAAUACUGCUUUGCUUAACAUUAUUGUUUGGUUUUUGGGGUUGAGGUUUGUUUGUUCAGGAUUUGGUGGUUUUGUUCUGGUUUCACGUUUUACGAUUCUUUGGUUCUAUGUUUUGUUCUUGUUUUAUAUUUAAAAUUUUGCUAAGGCUAUAUGCUUUAUGUACAAAAUGCCCUGGUUAGGCCCUUUAUUUCUGUUUCAUAUUUGAUAUUUUGCUGAAGACAUAUAUUUUAUAUAUAAAAUGACCUGUGUAUGUCCC
ensembl:lncRNA